rnacentral:rRNA from 1 species
GGGUUGUGAGGUUAAGCGACUAAGCGUACACGGUGGAUGCCUUGGUAGUCAGAGGCGAUGAAGGACGUGCUAAUCUGCGAUAAGCGUCGGUAAGGUGAUAUGAACCGUUAUAACCGGCGAUUUCCGAAUGGGGAAACCCAGUGUGAUUCGUCACACUAUCAUUAACUAAAUCCAUAGGUUAAUGAGGCGAACCGGGGGAACUGAAACAUCUAAGUACCCCGAGGAAAAGAAAUCAACCGAGAUUCCCCCAGUAGCGGCGAGCGAACGGGGAGCAGCCCAGAGCCUGAAUCAGUGUGUGUGUUAGUGGAAGCGUCUGGAAAGGCGUGCGAUACAGGGUGACAGCCCCGUACACAAAAAUGCACAUAUUGUGAGCUCGAUGAGUAGGGCGGGACACGUGGUAUCCUGUCUGAAUAUGGGGGGACCAUCCUCCAAGGCUAAAUACUCCUGACUGACCGAUAGUGAACCAGUACCGUGAGGGAAAGGCGAAAAGAACCCCGGCGAGGGGAGUGAAAAAGAACCUGAAACCGUGUACGUACAAGCAGUGGGAGCACGCUUAGGCGUGUGACUGCGUACCUUUUGUAUAAUGGGUCAGCGACUUAUAUUCUGUAGCAAGGUUAACCGAAUAGGGGAGCCGAAGGGAAACCGAGUCUUAACUGGGCGUUAAGUUGCAGGGUAUAGACCCGAAACCCGGUGAUCUAGCCAUGGGCAGGUUGAAGGUUGGGUAACACUAACUGGAGGACCGAACCGACUAAUGUUGAAAAAUUAGCGGAUGACUUGUGGCUGGGGGUGAAAGGCCAAUCAAACCGGGAGAUAGCUGGUUCUCCCCGAAAGCUAUUUAGGUAGCGCCUCGUGAAUUCAUCUCCGGGGGUAGAGCACUGUUUCGGCAAGGGGGUCAUCCCGACUUACCAACCCGAUGCAAACUGCGAAUACCGGAGAAUGUUAUCACGGGAGACACACGGCGGGUGCUAACGUCCGUCGUGAAGAGGGAAACAACCCAGACCGCCAGCUAAGGUCCCAAAGUCAUGGUUAAGUGGGAAACGAUGUGGGAAGGCCCAGACAGCCAGGAUGUUGGCUUAGAAGCAGCCAUCAUUUAAAGAAAGCGUAAUAGCUCACUGGUCGAGUCGGCCUGCGCGGAAGAUGUAACGGGGCUAAACCAUGCACCGAAGCUGCGGCAGCGACGCUGAUGCGUUGUUGGGUAGGGGAGCGUUCUGUAAGCCUGUGAAGGUGUGCUGUGAGGUAUGCUGGAGGUAUCAGAAGUGCGAAUGCUGACAUAAGUAACGAUAAAGCGGGUGAAAAGCCCGCUCGCCGGAAGACCAAGGGUUCCUGUCCAACGUUAAUCGGGGCAGGGUGAGUCGACCCCUAAGGCGAGGCCGAAAGGCGUAGUCGAUGGGAAACAGGUUAAUAUUCCUGUACUUGGUGUUACUGCGAAGGGGGGACGGAGAAGGCUAUGUUGGCCGGGCGACGGUUGUCCCGGUUUAAGCGUGUAGGCUGGUUUUCCAGGCAAAUCCGGAAAACUAAGGCUGAGGCGUGAUGACGAGGCACUACGGUGCUGAAGCAACAAAUGCCCUGCUUCCAGGAAAAGCCUCUAAGCAUCAGGUAACAUCAAAUCGUACCCCAAACCGACACAGGUGGUCAGGUAGAGAAUACCAAGGCGCUUGAGAGAACUCGGGUGAAGGAACUAGGCAAAAUGGUGCCGUAACUUCGGGAGAAGGCACGCUGAUAUGUAGGUGAAGUCCCUCGCGGAUGGAGCUGAAAUCAGUCGAAGAUACCAGCUGGCUGCAACUGUUUAUUAAAAACACAGCACUGUGCAAACACGAAAGUGGACGUAUACGGUGUGACGCCUGCCCGGUGCCGGAAGGUUAAUUGAUGGGGUCAGCGCAAGCGAAGCUCUUGAUCGAAGCCCCGGUAAACGGCGGCCGUAACUAUAACGGUCCUAAGGUAGCGAAAUUCCUUGUCGGGUAAGUUCCGACCUGCACGAAUGGCGUAAUGAUGGCCAGGCUGUCUCCACCCGAGACUCAGUGAAAUUGAACUCGCUGUGAAGAUGCAGUGUACCCGCGGCAAGACGGAAAGACCCCGUGAACCUUUACUAUAGCUUGACACUGAACAUUGAGCCUUGAUGUGUAGGAUAGGUGGGAGGCUUUGAAGUGUGGACGCCAGUCUGCAUGGAGCCGACCUUGAAAUACCACCCUUUAAUGUUUGAUGUUCUAACGUUGACCCGUAAUCCGGGUUGCGGACAGUGUCUGGUGGGUAGUUUGACUGGGGCGGUCUCCUCCUAAAGAGUAACGGAGGAGCACGAAGGUUGGCUAAUCCUGGUCGGACAUCAGGAGGUUAGUGCAAUGGCAUAAGCCAGCUUGACUGCGAGCGUGACGGCGCGAGCAGGUGCGAAAGCAGGUCAUAGUGAUCCGGUGGUUCUGAAUGGAAGGGCCAUCGCUCAACGGAUAAAAGGUACUCCGGGGAUAACAGGCUGAUACCGCCCAAGAGUUCAUAUCGACGGCGGUGUUUGGCACCUCGAUGUCGGCUCAUCACAUCCUGGGGCUGAAGUAGGUCCCAAGGGUAUGGCUGUUCGCCAUUUAAAGUGGUACGCGAGCUGGGUUUAGAACGUCGUGAGACAGUUCGGUCCCUAUCUGCCGUGGGCGCUGGAGAACUGAGGGGGGCUGCUCCUAGUACGAGAGGACCGGAGUGGACGCAUCACUGGUGUUCGGGUUGUCAUGCCAAUGGCACUGCCCGGUAGCUAAAUGCGGAAGAGAUAAGUGCUGAAAGCAUCUAAGCACGAAACUUGCCCCGAGAUGAGUUCUCCCUGACUCCUUGAGAGUCCUGAAGGAACGUUGAAGACGACGACGUUGAUAGGCCGGGUGUGUAAGCGCAGCGAUGCGUUGAGCUAACCGGUACUAAUGAACCGUGAGGCUUAACCUUACAACGCCGAAGGUGUUU